GCAAGUCUGGUGCCAGCAGCCGCGGUAAUUCCAGCUCCAAUAGCGUAUAUUAAAGUUGUUGCAGUUAAAAGCUCGUAGUUGAAUUUCGGGGUUAGUAGGUUGGUCAUGCCUCUGGUAUGUACUGGUCUCACUGAUUCCUCCUUCCUUAUGAACCGUAAUGCCAUUAAUUUGGUGUUGCGGGGAAUUUGGACUGUUACUUUGAAAAAAUUAGAGUGUUUAAAGCAGGCUAACGCUUGAAUACAUUAGCAUGGAAUAAUAGAAUAGGACGUGUGGUUCUAUUUUGUUGGUUUCUAGGACCGCCGUAAUGAUUAAUAGGGAUAUCGGGGGCAUCAGUAUUCAAUUGUCAGAGGUGAAAUUCUUGGAUUUAUUGAAGACUAACUACUGCGAAAGCAUUUGCCAAGGAUGUUUUCAUUAAUCAGAAACGAAAGUUAGGGGAUCGAAGACGAUCAGAUACCGUCGUAGUCUUAACCAUAAACUAUGCCGACUUGGGAUCGGACGAUGUUAUUUUUUGACUCGUUCGGCGCCUUACGGGAAAC
rnacentral:rRNA from 2 species